UAAUAUCUGGUUUGGUUGUCUAAUUUUCAGGCUAGCCCAUCUGACCCUGAAAACUACCCAUUUAUACUGUUGGGUAACAAGAUAGAUAUUGAUGGUGGCAACAGCCGAGUGGAAAGAUUCUCCUGCCAUUUUAAUGUUAUCCAGGAAGCAAAAAAUUUAGCAUGAUAGUCGAAGCUCUGUUCUGUCUUUACUACUUGAUGGGUCCAAACAAACAAUAGCAACAGAAGAGAUUAAUGUAACUUUAUCAAAGUUUAAUGUCGUGAAAUCUGUAAACGCCAAGUCCCAGUUGGACCAAGUCAUCAUGUGGAACCCUGCUAUAUAUAGUGGUAUGUUUUUAUAUGCUUUGAUCUGUCUCUGGAUUUUCAGGUCUCUUGAGAAGAAAGCGAAGGCAUGGUGUGCAUCAAAGGGGAACAUUCCUUAUUUUGAAACAUCAGCUAAAGAAGGAUUCGAUGUGGAAGCUGCUUUCCAAUGUAUUGCCAAAAAUGCCCUCAAGAAUUAGCCGGAGGAAGAUAUAUAUCUUCCUGAUACCAUUGAUGUGGCGGGUGGUGCGAGACGACAACAAUCAUCCGGUUGUGAAUGUUAGAUGGAGUUCAUUUUAUGUUAGUU